UACGAAGGGGGCUAGCGUUGCUCGGAAUCACUGGGCGUAAAGCGCACGUAGGCGGACUCUUAAGUCAGGGGUGAAAUCCCAGAGCUCAACUCUGGAACUGCCUUUGAUACUGGGUAUCUUGAGUAUGGAAGAGGUGAGUGGAAUUCCGAGUGUAGAGGUGAAAUUCGUAGAUAUUCGGAGGAACACCAGUGGCGAAGGCGGCUCACUGGUCCAUUACUGACGCUGAGGUGCGAAAGCGUGGGGAGCAAACAGG
rnacentral:rRNA from 1 species